CCACGAGUUCCGUGCCGCAGCUAACGCAUUAAGCGCCCCGCCUGGGGAGUACGGCCGCAAGGCUAAAACUCAAAGGAAUUGACGGGGGCCCGCACAAGCGGCGGAGCAUGUUGCUUAAUUCGAUGCAACGCGAAGAACCUUACCUAGGCUUGACAUGCACGGAAAUCCUCCAGAGAUGGGGGGUCCGUAAGGGCCGUGCACAGGUGGUGCAUGGUUGUCGUCAGCUCGUGUCGUGAGAUGUUGGGUUAAGUCCCGCAACGAGCGCAACCCUCGUUCCAUGUUGCCAGCACGUAAUGGUGGGGACUCAUGGGAGACUGCCGGGGUCAACUCGGAGGAAGGUGGGGAUGACGUCAAGUCAUCAUGCCCCUUAUGUCUAGGGCUGCAAACAUGCUACAAUGGCCGGUACAAAGGGCUGCGAUACCGCGAGGUGGAGCGAAUCCCAAAAAGCCGGUCUCAGUUCGGAUUGGGGUCUGCAACUCGACCCCAUGAAGUUGGAGUCGCUAGUAAUCGCAGAUCAGCAACGCUGCGGUGAAUACGUUCCCGGGCCUUGUACACACCGCCCGUCACGUCACGAAAGUCGGUAACGCCCGAAGCCGGUG
rnacentral:rRNA from 1 species